GGAAAUUUCUCUUUCACCCACACACCCUUCACAUUUCAUUUGUCUUCACUCACUCUCAACACUAAGUUCUCUCUCUAUCCACUUCUCUCUUCCUCUGUCUAAUUCAUCCAGAUCUGAAAAGAUUCAUUUCUUAGGCAAAGUUCCUGAGGAAAAGGAGAUACAAGCCCUAAUUUCAUCUGAUGGAGGAUAGAAGGAAGCAUAUUGUGCUGCUAAUGGCUAGAAUAUGUUAUGUUCGGGAGGAAAUCACAUUAACGGCAAAGUUCGAUGCAAGCAUGAAUUUUUACUGCCAUUAUAGACAUCUUGGACAAAGCUAAAUCCAUGCAGGAGAUACUCAACAUGUCCCUAUUAUUGGGAAAGAUCCUGUAAAAAAUUCAGCAGAAAGAUUGUGCAAUUGAUGCAAAACCUGCAUUUGUCAUGCUCAAGUCGUUAGACGAAAUGUGAACCCGAAGAUAAAUUGAAAAGACACGAAGUUGCAGAGAAAUUGAAAAGACACGAAGUUGCAGAGAAUGUAUUGCAAGAAAAAUGUUUGACAAGCAAAAGAUGGGGAUAAAAUUGAAAGCCGAGUUUGAUAAUUGAAAGAGUGAGAUUAAGAUAAAGAGAAAAAAAAAUCAGAUUCAACAAUAGAAAGAAUAUGAUAUGAUUUAUUCUUGUUUGUGCUUAUGUCGUCAUUUUCUCUUGUAAAGUAAAACUUAUCCAAUUGAAGGAUGAAAUAUUGCAAUUGACAUAAGAAAUUGUGUAGUAUUUUAAAGUUAGGUUUAGGUGACUAACUGAAAGGCCGAAGUAUCUUUAAUAUUUUAAUUUGAAUGUACGUAAUUGUCCUUUGUACUUAAGUAUGUAAUGAAUUGUCACUAUGAUUGGUUGUUUUGUCCAUUUGUCUUAGUCCUUAGGUCGUUGGCCAUCAUUUAUUUGAGUUGUAGCGGAACACAAUGUGAAGAACAUAAUUGAGCAAAAAUUGUUGAGUAAAAAAUGUAGUUCUAUUUCCAUGUUAAUAAAUAGUUAUUACAUUAAUGAAAUAGCAUAAAAAAAAAAAAAAAAAAAAACCGGAAAGCAACAACUAAAUUAAACUAAAAUGGGCAGUUUUUGUGAAAAACUAGCUUAAAUUGCAGAAAACAAUAGUCGCACCAAACUUCGCCAAAAAACAACUCUCAAAUCGAUCCGAAUCUCAUCGAAAUCUCACCAAAACUUGUGGACAAGUUAAAAUCAUCACACGAACCUUCUCGAGCUUUCAAAACAUCGAUACAAAAUUGUCUUGGCCCGAUUUUGACCGUGGUCAACUCCAAAUCAUCUCAAAAGCUAAUUUUCC